UUCAAAGCUCCCUUUGGUCCUUCCGCCUGUCAUCUUCGGAGAAGGGGUUUUACUCUCUCUUCUUUUUUCCUUCGUUCUUCGGUGCUUGAGGCGGGUAGAUCUCGGAGAAAGGAGGAAAGAGAGACGAACCCCCGGCACUCGUCUUCUCGGAGAAGCCUCGGGGGGAUCGGAUUCCGAGCUUCGCUUUGUUUUCUAGAAAAUUAGAUUCCCCCAAAGACGUGCGUUCUUGAUUCGAUUCUGAGGUCAACGAGACGAAUGGAACGGGAUUAGGGUUUUCUUUCGGGGGAGAUAGUCACAGAUCUUUCCUUGCUCCUAUUUGUUCAUCCGCCUCCAAGAAGAAGCGAAGGAGAGAUGAAGGCGAGUGGUGUUCUUUUCUUGAUGGUUCCUUUGCUGGUCGUCUUUUCUGUACAUCGUUUCUCCGAUGCAGCAGAUGCAGCGGAGGUUCAGGACCAUCUGAAGGGUUUCUCAGACAAGAAUAGCCCUGUUCUGGAUUCGAAUGGUACUCAAAUUGCUCCACCGGUUAACGUGAAUGAUAAAGAAAAGAAAGAUGGAGAUCAGGACAAAGGAUUGCAAGAGGAAACCAAGAAAGUUCCUGAGAAGGAUGAUUCCAAGAAAAGUUCAGAUGAGAAGAAAGAUAAGCAAUUGCAGCAGCCAAAGGCACAGGACAACAAUGGGAAACAAAGUUCAGAUAAGGAUUCAGAUUCCAAAACACUGGCGGUGGAUUCCCAUGUGGAAGAGUGCGAUCCAUCUAACAGAUGCAUUGCCGAGGAGAGCAAGUUCAUUGCUUGCCUUAGAGUUCCUGGGAAAGAUUCGCUAGCUCUCUCACUUCUGAUUCAGAAUAAAGGUACAGGAUCCCUUGAUGUUAACAUUGUCGCUCCCAGUUUUGUCAAUCUGGAGCAAGCAAAAGUUCAACUUCAGGCAAAGGAAAACAAGGAGGUGAAGGUUUCCGUCGAUAGCACGAAUGACACCACGAUUAUUUUGGAAGCAGGAAAGGGACAUUGCAGCCUCAAUUUGCGGAAUACGAUCUCCGAUUCGGUCAGAAGGAGUGAAACAUCUAAGUUAUCUGGAUUUGUCAAUCUAGCUCUACGAGCCUCAAUUUUACAUGUGCUCCUGGCCGCAGUCGUGCUCAUAGGAGCAGCUUGGUUAUGCAUCAGAUACCGGCAGAUGUAUCACCAAGAAGAUGGCCCUAAAUACCAGAAGGUUGAGGUAGGCUUACCUGUUUCAACAGGAGGGAAGAAGGAAACAGAGGAGGCCGAUGGUUGGAAUAACAACUGGGGAGAUGGUUGGGAUGAUGAGGAGGCGCCCAAAACACCAUCUAGUAUUUUAUCAAAUCCAUCAUCUAAAGGUCUUGCAUCACGGAGAUUGAACAAAGAUAUCUGGAAGGAUUAAUAGCUGUACAAUUUCCAAUUGGAGCAGAAAGGAUGGAUUUCAUCAUUGAAAGCUCUUUUUCUCCUUUUCUUUUUCUCAUUUGGUUUUGAACUAACAGCGCUUAGUUCUCAGGUGAUUGUUCUUUCAUGCGAGGAUGAUAGGAAAAACUCGAGGAAAAUCCACUACAGCUAUUGCAGCCAUGAAGACUGAUGUAGCGUUGAUCCAAAAGGCAAUGCGCAAGAGGACGACCGCGUUUGAGAGUGAGGGAAGAAGACGAAGAGAGGAUCGAUCUACUUUGGGCUCUUCUGAGGUAAUAGCUAAAGCUGUUGUUCCCAAGGUGUCGAAACCUCGAACCGAAAGAGUGGAGCUCGACCUCGAGGUUGAGAUUGUGUCUCCCAUUAGGUCGGCUCCUCCAAAAGGGGUUGUUCUCGCUCAACUGUCCAUCACCGCUUUGACCACCUAUCCUUCAUCAUCCGAGUUAACUAUUUCAGGCCAAGCCGAUCCAAGUUCAUCAGCUCUAGUGGAACACAGUUUUGUGGCUCCAUCCUCUGCUCCGAGCUCAUCUCCUCUUGCUGCCUCCGAGUUCUACAUUCUGAAAUGGUCGGUUAAGGCUUCUAACUCGGCCUUGACCUCUCCUCGGGUGGCUAAGGAUAUAGUUCGUGCCAUUUAGUUGCACACCAACAAAAACAUAGUAAGGUUUGUCCAUGUCAACGACCUAAUCGACGGGACCUUCACCUCGAUCAUCUGAGUAAGUAUCUUCAUGCCAAAUUUCAUAGUGUUUUUCCUCGGAUACUAAUUAUUUCUUUUUUCUACCAUGGCCACGAAGCUUACUACAUGUAUGAGACUAUCAUGAUGCUUAGCCAUCACACCUCGAACUUUGAGGAGAAGUGGAAAGUUGACGAGGUCAAGGCGAAGUUGAAGGCCGAUCUUGAACAGGCAGAAGAGCGAACACAACUAGCUGAGGAGAAGGUCGAAUAGGCAAAAGCUCAAGCCUCGGCCACACGGACUCGCACAAUAAUCUCUUACUGUCCUUUUUUGAGGCUAGGGAGGCCUUCUUGAUAUUUGAAUAGUAAGUAGCAGAGUUGUCUAUGAAAAUUGCUCAAACCGAACAAGAGGCUGCCAAGGCCAAGGUUAAGGAGAGGGCCGCUAAAGUGGUUGAGGAGUUCAUCUCUUUGGAUAAAUUCAAAGUGGAGUAUGUUGAAAAUGCCUCCGAUAGCUUUGCGAGAGGCUUCAAAGAUUGCCAAGCUCAAGGCCUUCGAUUUUAUCCAGAGAUGGACUUCAACAGUCUUCACAUCAACCUCGGCGAUGAGGAGGACGACGAGGAUGAGGAUGGCGAUGAUGAGUGAAGCUUUUUUCCUUUUUUGUUUUCACUCAGCCUUGUCGAGCUUAUUGUGCUUUGUUUUUGCUUGGGAGUCCGAGGCUAAUGUACAAACUCCUCAAGUAAUGAAGUUUCUUUAAGUACUUAAA